GACGGCGACACUUUGCUACGGAGUGCAUCGGACGUCGAAGCCUAGAGUCUCUGCGUCUUUCCCUCUUCCGCUGCCUCAUUCCUUUCCUUCCUAGCCUUGGUCGUCGCCGCCACCAUGAACAAGAAGAAGAAACCGUUCCUAGGGAUGCCCGCGCCCCUCGGCUACGUGCCGGGGCUGGGCCGGGGCGCCACUGGCUUCACCACGCGGUCAGACAUUGGGCCCGCCCGUGAUGCAAAUGACCCUGUGGAUGAUCGCCAUGCACCCCCAGGCAAGAGAACCGUUGGGGACCAGAUGAAGAAAAAUCAGGCUGCUGACGAUGACGACGAGGAUCUAAAUGACACCAAUUACGAUGAGUUUAAUGGCUAUGCUGGGAGCCUCUUCUCAAGUGGACCCUACGAGAAAGAUGAUGAGGAAGCAGAUGCUAUCUAUGCAGCCCUGGAUAAAAGGAUGGAUGAAAGAAGAAAAGAAAGACGGGAGCAAAGGGAGAAAGAAGAAAUAGAGAAAUAUCGUAUGGAACGCCCCAAAAUCCAACAGCAGUUCUCAGACCUCAAGAGGAAGUUGGCAGAAGUCACAGAAGAAGAGUGGCUGAGCAUCCCCGAGGUUGGCGAUGCCAGAAAUAAACGUCAGCGGAACCCACGCUAUGAGAAGCUGACCCCUGUUCCUGACAGUUUCUUUGCCAAACAUUUACAGACCGGAGAGAACCAUACCUCAGUGGAUCCCCGACAAACUCAAUUUGGAGGUCUUAACACACCCUAUCCAGGUGGACUAAACACUCCAUACCCAGGUGGAAUGACGCCAGGACUGAUGACACCUGGCACAGGUGAGCUGGACAUGAGGAAGAUUGGCCAAGCGAGGAACACUCUGAUGGACAUGAGGCUGAGCCAGGUGUCUGACUCCGUGAGUGGACAGACCGUCGUUGACCCCAAAGGCUACCUGACGGAUUUAAAUUCCAUGAUCCCGACACACGGAGGAGACAUCAAUGAUAUCAAGAAGGCGCGACUGCUCCUCAAGUCUGUUCGGGAGACGAACCCUCAUCACCCGCCAGCCUGGAUUGCAUCAGCCCGCCUGGAAGAAGUCACUGGGAAGCUACAAGUAGCUCGGAACCUUAUCAUGAAGGGGACGGAGAUGUGCCCCAAGAGUGAAGAUGUCUGGCUGGAAGCAGCCAGGUUGCAGCCUGGGGACACAGCCAAGGCCGUGGUAGCCCAAGCUGUCCGUCAUCUCCCACAGUCUGUCAGGAUUUACAUCAGAGCCGCAGAGCUGGAAACGGACAUUCGUGCAAAGAAGCGGGUUCUUCGGAAAGCCCUCGAGCAUGUUCCAAACUCGGUUCGCUUGUGGAAAGCAGCCGUUGAGCUGGAAGAACCUGAAGAUGCUAGAAUCAUGCUGAGCCGAGCUGUGGAGUGCUGCCCCACCAGCGUGGAGCUCUGGCUUGCUCUGGCAAGGCUGGAGACCUAUGAAAAUGCCCGCAAGGUCUUGAACAAGGCGCGGGAGAACAUUCCUACAGACCGACAUAUCUGGAUCACGGCUGCUAAGCUGGAGGAAGCCAAUGGGAACACGCAGAUGGUGGAGAAGAUCAUCGACCGAGCCAUCACCUCGCUGCGGGCCAACGGUGUGGAGAUCAACCGUGAGCAGUGGAUCCAGGAUGCCGAGGAAUGUGACAGGGCUGGGAGUGUGGCCACCUGCCAGGCCGUCAUGCGUGCCGUGAUUGGGAUUGGGAUUGAGGAGGAAGAUCGGAAGCAUACCUGGAUGGAGGAUGCUGACAGUUGUGUAGCCCACAAUGCCCUGGAGUGUGCACGAGCCAUCUACGCCUACGCCCUGCAGGUGUUCCCCAGCAAGAAGAGUGUGUGGCUGCGCGCCGCGUACUUCGAGAAGAACCAUGGCACUCGGGAGUCCCUGGAAGCACUCCUGCAGAGGGCUGUGGCCCACUGCCCCAAAGCAGAGGUGCUGUGGCUCAUGGGCGCCAAGUCCAAGUGGCUGGCAGGGGAUGUGCCUGCAGCAAGGAGCAUCCUGGCCCUGGCCUUCCAGGCCAACCCCAACAGUGAGGAGAUCUGGCUGGCAGCCGUGAAGCUGGAGUCCGAGAAUGAUGAGUACGAGCGGGCCCGGAGGCUGCUGGCCAAGGCGCGGAGCAGUGCCCCCACCGCCCGGGUGUUCAUGAAGUCUGUGAAGCUGGAGUGGGUGCAAGACAACAUCAGGGCAGCCCAAGAUCUGUGCGAGGAGGCCCUGCGGCACUAUGAGGACUUCCCCAAGCUGUGGAUGAUGAAGGGGCAGAUCGAGGAGCAGAAGGAGAUGAUGGAGAAGGCGCGGGAAGCCUAUAACCAGGGGUUGAAGAAGUGUCCCCACUCCACACCCCUGUGGCUUUUGCUCUCUCGGCUGGAGGAGAAGAUUGGGCAGCUUACUCGAGCACGGGCCAUUUUGGAAAAGUCUCGUCUGAAGAACCCAAAGAACCCUGGGCUGUGGUUGGAGUCCGUGCGGCUGGAGUACCGUGCGGGGCUGAAGAACAUCGCAAAUACACUCAUGGCCAAGGCGCUGCAGGAGUGCCCCAACUCCGGUAUCCUGUGGUCUGAGGCCAUCUUCCUCGAGGCAAGGCCCCAGAGGAGGACCAAGAGCGUGGAUGCCCUGAAGAAGUGUGAGCAUGACCCCCAUGUGCUCCUGGCCGUGGCCAAGUGAGUGGGGCCCCCACAGGAUUGCUGAACCUCGGGGUCCUAAUGGGCUCUUUUUCCAGAGUCUGUCUGCCUCUUCCUGGUCAUUGUAAAGAUGCCCGGCAGCAGGGUGGGCUUCCCCGAUCCUCGGCUGCCGUCGCUCCUGCUGUGGUCUGGGGCAGGCGCCUCUCCUGGCAGACACACCUGAGGGUGCCGUGGUCAGAGACUCACCGGGGACGCAUGUGAUUCACACUGGUGCUCUGGUCGCCGGGUCAGAGACUCACUGGGGACGCAUGUGAUUCACACUGGUGCGCUGGCCGCCGGGUCAGAGACUCACUGGGGACACAUGUGAUUCACACUGGUGUGCUGGCCGCCGGGUCAGAGACUCACUGGGGACGCGUGUGAUUCACACUGGUGCGCUGGCCGCUGGGUCAGAGACUCACUGGGGACGUGACUCUGGAACCUUGCAGGCAGCAGCGGGUAGCCAUGGGGCAGAGCAUGCAGACUCUAGGCACAUGUGGGCAAAGACCCGCCAGGUGUGGGGCACAGCAGGGAGCUCAGGGCCAUCCCCGACCCCCAGGGUCCCUGUUUCCUUCUAGAAAGAGGAUGACAGUCUGGGAAGGAGCUGGGCCUGAGUGUGGGUCAGGAGGCUGGGAAGUGACCAUGUGGGGUGAAGGGAGUUCUUGGAAGAACCCUGGGUUCCUGAGGCUGCAGCUCAGGACGUGGGCUCACCUGGCAGAGGUGGCGUGUCUGGCCCCAGGAGCUCUCCUGUGUCCGGCUUCCCCUCCACCUGCCCCGCCAUGGGUCAUGCAGAGACAACAGCCUUCCUAGUGCUGGCUUUUGAUUCUCUCCAUCCCUUCUCCCCAGCACUGGGUGGCAGUGGUGCUUGGUCUCCAGAGGUCUGGGUGCCGCCCCCACAGGCUUGCCUGUAGGGGCACCUCCUCUCCCCUGCCCGCAGGCCCCCGACAGAUGAGAGAGGCUCCCCACAGGGAGGCUUGUGUCUGCCUGGUGCUACCUUGGUCCUGCCCUGUGCGUUCACCUCCCAGAGUGACUUCUGGGUGACACUCUGAUAGUGCAGCCAUAAAACCUUAUAAAAGGCUUUGCUAAAGUAAAUAAGUCACUCCUUGCUAUUCCCAAGCCAGUGUUUUGUGUGUCUGCUAUCUGGGUUUGUGCUCUUUAAAUCACAGUUUAUCUAACACCGGGCAAUUAAGAAUACCACAAGGCUUAAAAAACAA